AAGGAUUUGCAACUGUCAAAGACUGAGUCAGAUUAGAUGGAGAAAAGUUAAGCAAAACAAAAUGCAUGAUACCCACAUCAAGACAAGAGACGGGAAUUUAAGCGCAGUUACACAGCUGAAGCCAAAUCACGCAGAUCUUUUAUCAGAAACCCCUAAUUGCAUCCAACUUCACUUAAGGGGAAAGAUGUUGCAAAGUUGAGCUCAUGAAGAAAACACAUAAAGCAGGAAGUCUCAGUGCAGAGAAAGACCCUUCUGCUUGUGAAUGAUGAGUGACAAACGGAAUCGACGCUGGAACAUGAGAGAUAUACAAUACUAAGAACAAGGCCUCAAAUGAGAAGGCAAACGAGACAGUAAUGUUCAUCGUCAUAGAACUUGAGCAGAAUGUGGUGGGAAAUGAAUCAACACAUAUCCCAACUGUAACUUAGUCAAUAUUUACCAUACCAUCUCACUGUAGUAACAACUUCAUUGGCGAAAUAAGUAUGUCAUUGUUCGAGUUAAGUGCCUUUAGGCUAUGCUCCAUGUUUAAUUUAAAUACACUUGUUACAUUCAGGA